CAUGGGAUGAGCCCAUAAUCACUCUCUAGCCCAACGACACAAGUUCCGCAAGAAAAGCUCUACCCAUUGGUCAACAGUACAGUAACCUUAGCUCAAAUCUCUUUAGCUGGUUCUUUCAAUAUACAGGUAUAAAAUUUAGCAUAGUUUGGACCAUUCGAGAGCUACACAUCUUAGUUUUUAUUCUAGAUAAGAAUCUUUCUAAAAGCCCACC
rnacentral:lncRNA from 1 species